AACGAACGCUGGCGGCAGGCUUAACACAUGCAAGUCGAGCGCCCCGCUAGGGGAGCGGCAGACGGGUGAGUAACGCGUGGGAAUCUACCCAUCUCUACGGAAUAACGCAUGGAAACGUGUGCUAAUACCGUAUACGUCCUUCGGGAGAAAGAUUUAUCGGAGAUGGAUGAGCCCGCGUUGGAUUAGCUAGUUGGUGGGGUAAAGGCCUACCAAGGCGACGAUCCAUAGCUGGUCUGAGAGGAUGAUCAGCCACACUGGGACUGAGACACGGCCCAGACUCCUAAGGGAGGCAGCAGUGGGGAAUAUUGGACAAUGGGCGCAGGCCUGAUCCAGCCAUGCAGCGUGAGUGAUGAAGGCCCUAGGGUUGUAAAGCUCUUUCACCGGUGAAGAUAAUGACGGUAACCGGAGGAGAAGCCCCGGCUAACUUCGUGCCAGCAGCAGCAGUAACAC
rnacentral:rRNA from 1 species